CAAUAGCGUAUAUUAAUGUUGUUGCAGUUAAAAAGCUCGUAGUUGGAUUUCUGCGUCGCGCAGCUCGGUCCGCCGCAAUGCGGUGCGACUGUGGCUGGAGCGUCGCAUCCUUGUGGAGACCUUUGAUGCCAUUGAUUUGGUGUUGAAUGGGAACCGCAUCGUUUACUGUGAAAAAAUUAGAGUGUUCAAAGCAGGCAUAAGCCGUGAAUACAUUAGCAUGGAAUAAUAAGAUAGGACUUUGGUUCUAUUUUGUUGGUCGGAGGCCAAGGUAAUGAUUAAUAGGGAUAGUUGGGGGUAUUCAUAUUUAAUUGUCAGAGGUGAAAUUCUUGGAUUUAUGAAAGAUGAACUUAUGCGAAAGCAUUUACCAAGGAUGUUUUCAUUAA
rnacentral:rRNA from 1 species